rnacentral:rRNA from 1 species
GAUGAACGCUGGCGGCGUGCCUAAUACAUGCAAGUCGAGCGAACGGACGAGAAGCUUGCUUCUCUGAUGUUAGCGGCGGACGGGUGAGUAACACGUGGAUAACCUACCUAUAAGACUGGGAUAACUUCGGGAAACCGGAGCUAAUACCGGAUAAUAUUUUGAACCGCAUGGUUCAAAAUUGAAAGACGGUCUUGCUUUCACUUAUAGAUGGAUCCGCGCUGCAUUAGCUAGUUGGUAAGGUAACGGCUUACCAAGGCAACGAUGCAUAGCCGACCUGAGAGGGUGAUCGGCCACACUGGAACUGAGACACGGUCCAGACUCCUACGGGAGGCAGCAGUAGGGAAUCUUCCGCAAUGGGCGAAAGCCUGACGGAGCAACGCCGCGUGAGUGAUGAAGGUCUUCGGAUCGUAAAACUCUGUUAUUAGGGAAGAACAUAUGUGUAAGUAACUGUGCACAUCUUGACGGUACCUAAUCAGAAAGCCACGGCUAACUACGUG